rnacentral:rRNA from 1 species
UACGUAGGGGGCAAGCGUUGUUCGGAUUCAUUGGGCGUAAAGGGUGCGUAGGUGGCGCGCUAAGUCAGGUGUGAAAUCUCGGAGCUUAACUCCGAAACUGCAUUCGAUACUGCCGUGCUUGAGGACUGGAGAGGAGACUGGAAUUUACGGUGUAGCGGUGAAAUGCGUAGAUAUCGUAAGGAAGACCAGUGGCGAAGGCGGGUCUCUGGACAGUUCCUGACGCUGAGGCACGAAGGUCAGGGGAGCAAACGGG